rnacentral:rRNA from 1 species
GCACAAGCGGUGGAGCAUGUGGUUUAAUUCGACGCAACGCGAAGAACCUUACCAGGUCUUGACAUCCAGAGAACUUUCCAGAGAUGGAUUGGUGCCUUCGGGAACUCUGAGACAGGUGCUGCAUGGCUGUCGUCAGCUCGUGUCGUGAGAUGUUGGGUUAAGUCCCGUAACGAGCGCAACCCUUGCCCUUAGUUGCCAGCACGUAAUGGUGGGAACUCUAAGGGGACUGCCGGUGACAAACCGGAGGAAGGUGGGGAUGACGUCAAGUCAUCAUAGCCCUUACGACCUGGGCUACACACGUGCUACAAUGGGCGGUACAAAGGGUUGCCAAACCGCGAGGUGGAGCUAAUCCCAUAAAACCGUUCGUAGUCCGGAUUGGAGUCUGCAACUCGACUCCAUGAAGUCGGAAUCGCUAGUAGUCGUAAAUCAGAACGUUACGGUGAAUACGUUCCCGGGC